CCCUUAGAGUUUGAUCCUGGCUCAGGACGAACGCUGGCGGCGUGCUUAACACAUGCAAGUCGAACGGGCCUUAACGAAUAGAUUUACUAUGAGCUAAGGUUAGUGGCGGACGGGUGAGUAACACGUGGAUAACCUACCUGACACAUCGGGAUAACACCGUGAAAACAGUGCUAAUACCGGAUACGUUCUUUAGGGCGCAUGGUCUAAAGAAGAAAGGGGGAACCCGGUGACAGAUGGAUCCGCGGCUGAUUAGCCAGUUGGUGGGGUAAAGGCCUACCAAAGCGACGAUCAGUAGCCGGCCUGAGAGGGUGAACGGCCACACUGGAACUGAGACACGGUCCAGACUCCUACGGGAGGCAGCAGUGGGGAAUCUUCCGCAAUGGGCGCAAGCCUGACGGAGCAACGCCGCGUGGGUGACGAAGGCCUUCGGGUUGUAAAGCCCUGUCAAAUGGGAAGAAAGGAAUGACAGUACCAUAAGAGGAAGCCACGGCUAACUACGUGCCAGCAGCCGCGGUAAUACGUAGGUGGCAAGCGUUGUCCGGAAUUACUGGGCGUAAAGGGCGAGUAGGCGGUUAAUUAAGUCAGGUGUGAAAACUGUGGGCUCAACCCAGAGAGUGCACCUGAUACUGAGUAACUUGAGUGCAGGAGAGGGCAGUGGAAUUCCUAGUGUAGCGGUGAAAUGCGUAGAUAUUAGGAGGAACACCAGUGGCGAAGGCGGCUGCCUGGACUGUAACUGACGCUGAGGCGCGAAAGCGUGGGGAGCAAACAGGAUUAGAUACCCUGGUAGUCCACGCCGUAAA
rnacentral:rRNA from 1 species